GCCAGGCAUGUUGGCUCAUGCCUGUAAUCCUAGCACUUUGGGAGGCUGAGAUGGGAGGAUUGCUUGAGCCCAGGAGUUUGAGACAAGCCUGGGCAACAUAGCAAGACUCCAUCUCUA
rnacentral:SRP_RNA from 1 species